GCAGGGAAUCUUGCGCAAUGGGCGAAAGCCUGACGCAGCGACACCGCGUGGGGGAUGAAGGCCCUAGGGUUGUAAACCCCUUUUCUCGGGGAAGAGGACGGACGGUACCCGAGGAAUAAGGAUCGGCUAACUACGUGCCAGCAGCCGCGGUAAUACGUAGGAUCCGAGCGUUGUCCGGAUUUACUGGGCGUAAAGGGUGCGUAGGCGGCGCGGUAAGUCUCAUGUGAAAUCUCCCGGCUUAACUGGGAGGGGUCAUGGGAAACUGCCAUGCUCGAGGGCAGUAGAGGAGAGCGGAAUUCCGGGAGUAGCGGUGAUAUGCGUAGAUACCCGGAGGAACACCCGUGGCGAAAGCGGCUCUCUGGACUGUACCUGACGCUAAGGCACGAAAGCGUGGGGAGCAAACCGG
rnacentral:rRNA from 1 species